CUCCUCUCGAUGGACAGA
rnacentral:miRNA from 1 species